GAUGAACGCUGGCGGCGUGCCUAAUACAUGCAAGUCGAGCGAACAGACGAGGAGCUUGCUCCUCUGACGUUAGCGGCGGACGGGUGAGUAACACGUGGAUAACCUACCUAUAAGACUGGGAUAACUUCGGGAAACCGGAGCUAAUACCGGAUAAUAUAUUGAACCGCAUGGUUCAAUAGUGAAAGACGGUUUUGCUGUCACUUAUAGAUGGAUCCGCGCCGCAUUAGCUAGUUGGUAAGGUAACGGCUUACCAAGGCAACGAUGCGUAGCCGACCUGAGAGGUGGUCCGGCCAAACGGAAACGAGAACCCGUCCCAAACCCUAAGGGGGGGAGGCAGAGGGAAAUUUUCCGCAAGGGGGAAAGCCCGACGGGGCAAACCCCGGGGAGGGAAUAAGGGUUUUGGAUCUGAAAAACCUGUUUUUAGGGAAAAAAAAAUGUGUAAAUAAAUGUGCCACUUUUGAAGGGACCUAAACAGAAAGCCACGGGCUAAUUAGUG
rnacentral:rRNA from 1 species